GCCUGCAUAGUGUAGUGGUGAGCACGCUCGGCGCUUAUUCGAGAGGUCCGUGGUUCGAGUCCCGGCGGGGGCA
rnacentral:tRNA from 1 species